UCUACGCUGGUUCAAAUCCAGCUCGGCCCA
rnacentral:tRNA from 1 species